rnacentral:rRNA from 1 species
UACGUAGGGUGCAAGCGUUGUCCGGAAUUAUUGGGCGUAAAGAGCUCGUAGGCGGUCUGUCGCGUCUGCUGUGAAAACUCAGGGCUUAACUCUGAGCUUGCAGUGGGUACGGGCAGACUAGAGUGCGGUAGGGGAGACUGGAAUUCCUGGUGUAGCGGUGAAAUGCGCAGAUAUCAGGAGGAACACCGGUGGCGAAGGCGGGUCUCUGGGCCGUAACUGACGCUGGAGGAGCGAAAGCUAGGGGAGCAAACGGG